CACCUCCCAUCUUCUAUCUCUCACCUUGCUGCUCUCACCUCCCACCUUCUAUCUCUCACCUUUCAGCUCCCACCUCUCACCUUGCUGCUCUCACCUCCCACCUCGCUGCUCUCACCUCCUAUCUCUCACCUCCCAUCUCGCUGCUCUCACCUCUCAGCUCCCACCUCCUAUCUCUCACCUCGCUGCUCUCACUUCCCAUCUCUCACCUCGCUGCACUCACCUCUCAGCUCCCACAUCCUAUCUCUCACCUUGCUGCUCUCACCUCCCAUCUCUCACCUUGCUGCUCUCACUUCCCAUCUCUCACCUCGCUGCACUCACCUCUCAGCUCCCACAUCCUAUCUCUCACCUUGCUGCUCUCACCUCCCAUCUCUCACCUUGCUGCUCUCACUUCCCAUCUCUCACCUUGCUGCUCUCACUUCCCAUCUCUCACCUCGCUGCUCUCACUUCCCAUCUCUCACCUCGCUGCACUCACCUCUCAGCUCCCACAUCCUAUCUCUCACCUUGCUGCUCUCACCUCCCAUCUCUCACCUUGCUGCUCUCACCUCCCAUCACUCACCUCCCACUUCCUAUCUCUCAUCUUGCUGCUCUCAGCUCCUAUAUCUCACCUCCUACCUCUCAGCUCCCACCUUGCUGCUCUCACCUCCCACCUUGCUGCUCCCACCUCCCAUCUUCUAUCUCUCACCUCGCUGCUCUCAGCUCCCACCUCCCACCUCUCAGCUCCCUCCUCCCACCUGCUAUCUCUCACCUUGCUGCUCUCAGCUCCCACCUUGCUGCUCUCACCUCCCACCUUGCUGCUCUCACCUCCCACCUUGCUGCUCUCACCUCCCACCUAUCUGCUCUCAACCUCCCACCUAUCUCUCACCUCGCUGCUCUCGCCUUUCAGCUCCCACCUCUCACCUUGCUGCUUUCACCUCGCUGCUCUCACCUCCCACCUUGCUGCUCUCACUUCCCACCGUCUAUCUCUCACCUCGCUGCUCUCGCUUUUCAGCUCCCACCUCUCAACUUGCUGCUCUCACCUCCCACCUUGCUGCUCUCACUUCCCACCGUCUAUCUCUCACCUCGCUGCUCUCGCCUUUCAGCUCCCACCUCUCACCUUGCUGCUCUCACCUCCCACCUAUCUCUGACCUUGCCACUCUCACCUCCCAU
rnacentral:lncRNA from 1 species